GUCUAGGUAACUCAAUAGGUAGAGUGAAAUAUUGAAGCUAUUUUUGUUGUAGGUUCAAGUCCUAUCUUAGGCA
rnacentral:tRNA from 1 species